rnacentral:rRNA from 1 species
CCUACGGGAGGCAGCAGUGAGGACUAUUGGUCAAUGGGCGAGAGCCUGAACCAGCCAAGUCGCGUGAGGGAGUACUGCCCUAUGGGUUGUAAACCUCUUUUGUCGGGGAGCAAAAGCCGGACGUGUCCGGCUGUGAGAGUACCCGAAGAAAAAGCAUCGGCUAACUCCGUGCCAGCAGCCGCGGUAAUACGGAGGAUGCGAGCGUUAUCCGGAUUUAUUGGGUUUAAAGGGUGCGCAGGCGGAUUUUUAAGUCAGCGGUAAAAUCGUGGGGCUCAACCCCAUCCAGCCGUUGAAACUGGGGAUCUAGAGUGUGCGAGAGGUAUGCGGAAUGCGUGGUGUAGCGGUGAAAUGCAUAGAUAUCACGCAGAACCCCGAUUGCGAAGGCAGCAUACCGGUGCACAACUGACGCUCAGGCACGAAAGCGUGGGUAUCGAACAGGAUUAGAUACCCUUGUAGUC